AUUGCCUGCUGCCAUGUAAGGUGUGGCUUUGCUCACUCAUUACCUUCCACCAUGAUUGUGAGGCCUCCUCAGUGAUGUGGAACUGUUCAGCAGCCAGAGUCCUAUCCUGUACUUCUCUUCACGUUGCAGACAUCCACGAAAGAGUGAGACUGUUUUCGGUUGGAUUGAAGAGCAAAUGUGUGGAAGGCACCAAGACGGAGUUUCACUCUUGUUGCCCAGGCUGGAGUGCAAUGAUGCGAUUUCGGCUCACCGCAACCUCCACCUCCCGGGUUCAAGUAGUUCUUCUGCCUCAGCCUCCCAAGUAGCUGGUAUUACAGCUGCAGGCAGAAGAGGUGCAGUAGAAGGAGAAGUGAAGGAGAUUCCAAGUGUAAUAAUGACUCAAAGCACACUAGCUUAUCUGGAGAUGGAGGAAUUCAGGCCACCUUAUAUCUCUGAGAGAGGCUCUUGGUUCACAGCCUACAAGGAAGCAAAGACUUCACCUCUGAAGCCCAAAUACCUGGAUUCUGACAGCCAACCUGAAUGCGCUUGGAAGAAGAUUCUCCCUCAGAACCUCUGAAUACUAGUCCAGCUUGCCAACAACUUGAUUUCAGCCUAUAAAACCCAGGCCAGAGAAAACAGCUGAGCUCACCAGACUUCUGAGCUACAGAACUGUGAGAUAAUAAAUUUGAUUGGUUAAAGUA
rnacentral:lncRNA from 1 species